UACAGAGGGUGCAAGCGUUAAUCGGAAUUACUGGGCGUAAAGCGUGCGUAGACGGUUGCGUAAGUCAGAUGUGAAAGCCCCGGGCUCAACCUGGGAAUUGCAUUUGAGACUGCGUAGCUAGGGUGCGGAAGAGGGAAGCGGAAUUUCCGGGUGUAGCGGUGAAAUGCGUAGAUAUCGGAAGGAACACCAGUGGCGAAAGCGGCUUCCUGGUCCAGCACCGACGUUCAGGCACGAAAGCGUGGGGAGCAAACAGG
rnacentral:rRNA from 1 species